GAUCAUGGCUCAGGAUGAACGCUGGCGGCGUGCCUAAUACAUGCAAGUCGAGCGAACAGAUAAGGAGCUUGCUCCUUGACGUUAGCGGCGGACGGGUGAGUAACACGUGGGUAACCUACCUAUAAGACUGGGAUAACUUCGGGAAACCGGAGCUGAUACCGGAUAACAUUUGGAACCGCAUGGUUCUAAAGUGAAAGAUGGUUUUGCUAUCACUUAUAGAUGGACCCGCGCCGUAUUAGCUAGUUGGUAAGGUAACGGCUUACCAAGGCGACGAUACGUAGCCGACCUGAGAGGGUGAUCGGCCACACUGGAACUGAGACACGGUCCAGACUCCUACGGGAGGCAGCAGUAGGGAAUCUUCCGCAAUGGGCGAAAGCCUGACGGAGCAACGCCGCGUGAGUGAAUGAAGGGUUUCGGCUCGUAAAACUCUGUUAUUAGGGAAGAACAAAUGUGUAAGUAACUGUGCACGUCUUGACGGUACCUAAUCAGAAAGCCACGGCUAACUACGUGCCAGCCGCAGC
rnacentral:rRNA from 1 species